AUAGUUUAUCAUUUCAGAGGAGAAGAGAUUGCAGCCAUAACUAUUAGAUAAUAACAUGAGCACUGUAUGGUCCCAUCACAGACCUGCAUGUAGCAGUUGCCCUGAUUUUCUUAAAGGAUUCUUAUUUUAGAAAUGAGAUACCAUCAGAAUUUCUAAUUUAGCUUUUAUAUUUCAAAUAUAGGGCACAGAGGAUUGGGUUAUUGUAGACAAAAUACCAACUGAGGUAGUUGAUGGUGAUUUGAAAAAGAUUGUGACUUACAAGGUGGUGACCGUGAGCAGUAGAACUGGUGACCUCCCAGCUGACAUGUUAAAAUCUGGCACUAUUAAAAUGCAAAGCUUCGAAGACUUGGCUCGAGAAAUGCAACUGAAAGAAGACAGCAAACAGAAAAUAUACACUCUAGGAAAAUCCUAUGACACUGUCUCCGGGAGAAUUGUUACUAUGACUGGGAAAGCUAAAGAGGGCGAGAAAGUGGAGCAGCCCUCCACUACGGAAGCACUUCAGAAAAUGGAGAAAGAAAUGCCAGAGUCCAUGAAGAUCAUUCCCGGCCUGGCAGAGUAUGAGGUCCUGGAAACCCUCGCUGAUGAGAAAUCCAAGAGAGGACCAGAGGUCCAGACGACAAAGCGGAAAUUGUCCGAAUCCCUGGCCACCAUCAAGGAGGCCGAGUCUCGCCGGCAGAGUCCUGAAGAAGAUGACCUCAAGAAGGCUCCACAGCUGGAGAAGGAUGUGGCCGUCCUCCCUGGCCUGGAAGGCAGACGCUUCAGCAAAACAGAGCAAGUGCCCGAGAGUGAGGUCUUAAAAGUGGGCCUCUUUGGUCCCCGAAGGAAGAGCCUGUCCGAAUGGAGAUAUUCCCAGGAACCAGCCUUUACCGUUGCUACUGCCCAUUACGUUACUGAGUCAUCCGCCUCCCAAGUAGUGGUAACCAGUGUCACUCAUUGGGGCCACAGUUUGCAAUUCCAGCAUGACAGUUUUUGAGGCAGUCCCCUUCCACCCCAAACCUUUCUGUUUCUCUUGCUGCUUGGCUUUAUGUUGAGAGCAGCCAACCCAGCUUCUUAAUUUUUUUUCAUGGUUAAAUCAAUACUGCAGUGCAAAGUCAGCAUUAAAACACUUUCCAUUUUAUUUCCAGCACCCUGUUCCCAAGAUGUGAUAGUGCUGCUGUGGCUUGUAAUGAAGGGGAAAAUAUAUAUAUAUAUCUGCUUAAAUCGGCGCCACCCCGAUCCUAAUAACCGUCUCUGCUUUACCAAACAAGAGCACCUGGUUUUCUAUUUUAUUUCCCAUUCUUUUCGUUUCCAAACUCUGAGAUUCCUUCGUUCUUCCUCCUCCCUGUCUCCUCUGCCUACGAUUUUGUCUAACAAGCUGUGAAUGUUUAUGUGCCUGAGUUUGUGUCUCUCUUUUGUGCUUGACUCUGCCUCUCUUUGUUCACUCAGACUAAGCAGUCUUCUGGGGAAAAGCUCAUGGAUGGCUCUGAAAUCUUCAGUUUAUUAGAGUCUGCGCGAAAACCAACAGAAUUCAUAGGAGGGGUUACUUCUGCUUCUCAAAGCUGGGUUCAGAAAAUGGAAACCAAGACGGAGUCCAGUGGAAUAGAGACGGAACCCACCGUGCACCACCUGCCGCUUAGCACUGAGAAGGUGAUGCAGGAGACCGUGUUGGUGGAGGAGCAGCGUGUGGUGCACGUGAGUGGGGAUGCUUCUUACUCGGCGGGAGAGAGCGGGGAUGCUGCAGCACAGCCCGCAUUCACAGGCAUUAAAGGGAAAGAGGGCUCUGCCUUGACGGAGGAGGCUAAAGAGGAAGGAGGGGAGGAGGUCGCUAAAGCUGUCCUGGAACAGGAAGAGACAGCCGCUGCUUCCCGUGAGCGACAAGAGGAGCAGAGUGCAGCCAUCCACAUUUCAGAAACUUUGGAACAAAAACCUCAUUUUGAGUCCUCAACGGUGAAGACGGAAACCAUCAGUUUUGGCAGUGUUUCACCGGGAGGAGUAAAGCUAGAAAUUUCCACCAAGGAAGUGCCAGUAGUUCACACCGAAACCAAAACCAUCACAUAUGAAUCAUCACAGGUGGAUCCAGGCACAGAUCUGGAGCCAGGCGUGCUGAUGAGUGCACAGACGAUCACAUCUGAAACCACCAGUACCACCACCACUACGCACAUCACCAAAACUGUGAAAGGGGGCAUUUCAGAGACAAGAAUUGAGAAGCGAAUAGUCAUCACGGGGGAUGCAGACAUUGACCAUGACCAGGUAGUAUGUGUGAGACGGUAAAUACCCUGGCAGAGAAACAAAGAAAAACCUGUUGGUCCUACAGUUUCAAUGCUAUUCCUCUAGUCCAUCAUGUAUUCCGAAGAAAAUUAUGAAUUAACUUUCCAGUAUAUGAUUUAUGAUUCCUUUUGUAAUCAUUGUACCUCAUUUGUAAAUUGUGGAUAUAGAUCUAGCUCAUAAGUCUCCACCUCACCACUGAUCAUGCAUGUUCCACCUCCUUUUUGUUUCUGCCCUUCUGUGAUUUCCCGGGGAUAGGCGCUGGCUCAGGCAAUUAAAGAGGCCAAAGAGCAGCACCCUGACAUGUCAGUGACCAAAGUAGUGGUCCAUAAAGAGACAGAGAUCACACCAGAAGAUGGAGAGGAUUGACCAGAGGUAAGAGGUGAUGCCGAUUCUCUAGGCUUGCCUAGGCUGGCAUGAGGCAUGGGGCACUUCCCUCUCAUCCUUCACCUGAUCCUUCCUUUCCUCUGUUCUCUCACUGGCAUUUGUUGGGCUGGUUACCAAGAGGAUGGAGAAUUGGUUUAUGGGUUUGUCUCACAUUUGGAGCUUCCAUUCUUGUGGAGUUUUUGCAUGCACUGCCAGUUAGAGGAUAAAGGAAGAGCAGAGUCUAUGCUUGUGUGGUCUUCCUGGUGUUCCCUUUUAUUCCAUGGCCUGCACUCUUUGAUUAUCCAAAUUUGUAAUGGCAAAUUUGAUUUUACUUGCCAUGUGGCCUAAUUGGAACAAAGGCAGUUUUGCUCUGAGAGGCUCAAUUUGUGUGUUCCAAAUACUAGGGAAAUAAUAUAUACCCCUUUCUCCUUCUGAUGGCAACAUUAUCCCGUCGUAAGCUUUCUCUUCAACUGUGUUUGAUUGUAGCCUGUUUAUGCUUUUGUCUUUAGUUUUGUUUUUUUAAUUUGAAAGCUGAGCACUCACUUUCUUUUUGGAUGUCUUAUAUUUCCUGUAUUCUUUGGGAUGAUUUUUCUCCCUAGUGUAGCACUGUCUCAGAAGGAGGCAAAAAAAAUGCAGUCUUGUGGUCCUGUAGAAAGCACAUACCUUUCCAGUGACUGUUUGGCCAGCAUCAUGAGCAGACUAUAUCAUCUAUGUGAGCACAGACUUGUCAUGCAUACUCACCUGCCAUGCAAGAUCUCAUGGGGCCAUGAGCGUUUCUGAGAGGGCUUUGAAUGCUGAAUGCAGCAGUCGAGCGACUUGCACAACUUGGUGAUGUGAUAAAAUGUUUAAGAGAUUUCAUAUAUUAGUAAGUUUUCUAACAUCGGUUUAAGAAACAAAUUGAUGAGUGGCAUCUCUUAAAAGAGAAAUAUAAAAAAUACUCAUUUUACUCAAAUGAAUAAUAUAUUUUGGAAGAUAGCAAAAAAAAUAAAAAAGAUUUCUUCCAUGAGCUUCAGCCACUUGGGCGUUGUUGUAAUUACUUAAGAGAAAGCAUGUAAUUGGCAGUGACUUAACGCUGGAAUGUCAUGGCAUCUUGUCCAAACGAGCAUUCUAACUUCCAGGAUACUUUUUUUGUGUCCUUGAUCUGAGAAAAUCUUUCAGUUGUUUUCAAAUGAGUAACUAAUCAAAUCUCUUUUUUGCAGGAAUAACUUAGCUUGCACAUGAAUGCAGUCAUGCAAACCGUUAGGAAAACCAGAGCCUAUAUGGAGUUCCCUCUUCUAACCCAACUGACUUGUAUCUGUCCGUGGAAAAUUUCAGUCCAGAAGAAUUGACCUUGACCAUUAAUAAAGACACUGGCAGAGAGAUCUUCCCAUAAUAAAGCAAUCUGAUUCAGCAUCACUAAACCGAUAAUGCAUGAAGCAACGAUAAAAUUACAAAAGAGCAGCAUUUUUAAUUUUCACAAAAUGUCUCAGUUUUCAGCUAUACCUGCACGUUCAUAACCAACAAUAUAAACCGUGGUCUCAUGUAACACAUAAACAAUUCAUGCCUUUCAUAGUUUAUUAAAGUCUAAACAAAAUUGCAAUUUCUUAGGUAACCUUUUAUUUACAAUAAAUGAAGAUUACCCUCAAAUGCUAGAAGCUGUCUAGGUCCGUCCGGUGUGUCAGAUUUUCCUCAGAUUAGAUGUGCCAAUAACCAAGUUUAUUCAGUAAACAACUUGUACUUGUUUCAUCUGGUUUUAUUACUCUCACCCAUAAACAGUAAUGACUCUCUGACCCUCUGGAAAUAUUUAAUGCUUCCAAUCUUGCUUUGUGUAUCUCAUUUAAUUUGUUAUAAGGUAGUACUGAUUUUAGCAUAUUAAUGCGAUUUCUUCCUUGUUGUUUGCUUUGGUCUGUGUUCAAUCCAGAGAGCUUAAAUUGUCAUUAUUUUGGGAAGAAAACCUGUAUUUUUGUUAGUUUACAAUAUUAUGAAAUUUCACUUCAGGAGAAACUGCUGGGCUUCCUGUGGCUUUGUUUUCUUAGUUUCUUUUUCCGUGCCGUGUAUUUUUUAAUUGAUUUUUCUUCUUUUACUUGAAAAGAAAGUGUUUUAUUUUCAAAUCUGGUCCAUAUUUACAUUCUAGUUCAGAGCCAAGCCUUAAACUGUACAGAAUUUCCACUGUAAUUAAAACUAUUUAGUGUUAGUUAUAAAUAGCCUUCAAAAAGAGAGAUUCUCCAUUACACGAUCACCUGCAUCACAGCCCAUGGUGAAUGUAUGUUUCUGCAUAGCGAAAUAAAAAUGGCAAAUGCACUGAAA
rnacentral:sRNA from 1 species